rnacentral:rRNA from 1 species
GAUGAACGCUGGCGGCGUGCCUAACACAUGCAAGUCGAGCGGCAGCGAGGGGUGCUUGCACCCUGUCGGCGAGCGGCGGACGGCUGAGUAACGCGUGGGAACGUGCCCCAAAGUGAGGAAUAACUGCCCGAAAGGGUAGCUAAUACCGCAUAUUAUCUUCGGAUCAAAGGAUUUAUCCGCCUUGGGAGCGGCUCGCGUCGGAUUAGGUAGUUGGUGAGGUAAUGGCUCACCAAGCCGACGAUCCGUAGCUGGUCUGAGAGGAUGACCAGCCAGACUGGAACUGAGACACGGUCCAGACUCCUACGGGAGGCAGCAGUGAGGAAUCUUCCACAAUGGGCGAAAGCCUGAUGGAGCAACGCCGCGUGCAGGACGAAGGCCUUCGGGUUGUAAACUGCUUUUAUAAGUGAGGAAUAUGACGGUAACUGAUGAAUAAGGAUCGGCUAACUACGUG